rnacentral:rRNA from 1 species
UACAGAGGUCCCAAGCGUUGUUCGGAUUCACUGGGCGUAAAGGGUGCGUAGGUGGUGAGGUAAGUCGGAUGUGAAAGCUCCGAGCUCAACUCGGAAAUGGCAUUGGAAACUACCUUGCUCGAGGGUUUGAGGGGGGACUGGAAUACUUGGUGUAGCAGUGAAAUGCGUAGAUAUCAAGUAGAACACCAGUGGCGAAGGCGAGUCCCUGGAAAACUCCUGACACUGAGGCACGAAAGCUAGGGGAGCGAACGGG